UUCGUUUUCCUUUUUCUCUCCUUUUUUUUCCUUCCUAUCUUCUGAUGCCUUCACAGCAGGAACACUGAAACAGAGAGCACACCACCAAAUGGCGUCACUAGCUCUCACAUCGUCUUCUUCCUACUCUCUCGCCUUCAAUUCUCUUCCUUCUCUCAAGUCCCGCUCUUUCUUCCACCGCAGAUCCACUCCAACUCGCGUUCCUUCCCUCCCUAAACUCACUGCUAAUACCAGAUUUCCUCCC
rnacentral:misc_RNA from 1 species